UACGUAGGGGGCAAGCGUUGUCCGGAAUCAUUGGGCGUAAAGAGCGUGUAGGCGGCCCGAUAAGUCCGCUGUGAAAGUCCAGGGCUCAACCCUGGAAGGCCGGUGGAAACUGUCGGGCUAGAGUCCGGAAGAGGCGAGUGGAAUUCCCGGUGUAGCGGUGAAAUGCGCAGAUAUCGGGAGGAACACCAAUGGCGAAGGCAGCUCGCUGGACGGUACUGACGCUGAGACGCGAAAGCGUGGGGAGCAAACAG
rnacentral:rRNA from 1 species